GGGGUUGUACUGGUUUCGACGGGGGUUUUGAAGUUCUGGCAGCCAUCCGCAGGUCUGACUGCGUCAUCAACAGAAACUUAAAAUUAAACGCUGAAGAAAAUUACGCGUACGCUGCCUAGUUGCAGCAGUCGGACUUAGGUUCCUACAGCUUAAGACCCCGGCUUCAAAUCCGUAGGGAACUUCGUCACUUAAGCUUUGCGGUGAUGGAAGAAACUAUGAAGCUACUAAGAUCUCUAGCCUGUCUGCAGGCGAUUGAUUAAGGGAAUGUCAAAAUACAGACUGUGAUGGGAGAUACCGGAAUGGACGGGCUUUCGGACAGGGGUUCGAUUCCCCUCAGCUCCAUUA
rnacentral:tmRNA from 1 species